rnacentral:rRNA from 1 species
UACGAAGGGGGCUAGCGUUGUUCGGAAUUACUGGGCGUAAAGCGCGCGUAGGCGGCUUUGUAAGUUAGAGGUGAAAGCCCGGAGCUCAACUCCAGAAUUGCCUUUAAGACUGCCGAGCUAGCAGGUGAGAGAGGUGAGUGGAAUUCCGAGUGUAGAGGUGAAAUUCGUAGAUAUUCGGAAGAACACCAGUGGCGAAGGCGGCUCACUGGCUCAUACUGGACGCUGAGGUGCGAAAGCGUGGGGAGCAAACAGG